CCGCGGCCAUGUUGGCGGAGGCGCCACGUGACGCCGAGCCGCAGCGGUCAGGUGACGCGCGGCGGUUUAAAGGGCCCGCGGCGCGCGGCGGUGCCCUUCCCGCGCGGCGCCUGAGGCGCGUGGCGCGCGCGGCCGCGGCCGUUAGCGCUCCUGAGGGAAACGCUCCGGAGCAGCGCCCGGCGCUGGCCCGCCGCCCGCGUCACGCCCUCCGCAGGGGGAACCCAGGCGAGGACGGGCCCCGCCUUCAGGCGUUCCCGCUCCGAGAUGUCAAAACCUGCGGCCGGGGGUCAUUUUAGGUGACUGAUUGUGUUAUUUAGCUAUUUCCACAGCAAGGGGAAGUUCAGGUUGCACAGAUGCCGCUCCACAGAGAUGAGGACCGGCCCUUCAUAAGCUCCCUGGGAAACCAAGUACUGAACACGUCCCCACAAUGGCAAAAACGUGCAAUGUGGGUGCGUGGACCCACCAAACGACCGACCCAUCCUUAAGUAACCUACAGCUGAAGGACAGCCAACAGCAUGUAGAUAACGUCAAUGCCAGAGACUCCUUCAAGAUGCAGGUCUAAGGCACAAAAAUAAUCACAGUGCUGGCAUGGACGACUGAUAACUGGAAGCUUUUUUGAUCAUCUAGUGGAUCACGAAGACCAGCCAUAAGCAGGAUUAGACAGUUUGAUCCUUAGAGUCCUGGCAGUUGCCAGGAAUAGCUUCUGUUCUAAUCUUGCAGGGCUGCUGCUGGUGCAGCUGAACCAAUAGUGGGGUGGGGAGGAAGGGGGGAGUACAAAAAAAGUGCAAACCCACCCAGAAGCCUUGAGUGCUUUCUGAGUGAAGUAAUCCGUAGAAGUCAAGAGUUAAUUGCAGAUUAGGCAGCAUAGAAAAAAUAGUGUUCUUAUUCUUGGUAAAUAAAAGACUUAAAACUU